CCGUAUCAGAAAAACGAGGUCAAUAAAAACGAAGACAUUGUUUGUCUUUUUCUAUAAAAGAUCGAUAGUGAACAUGGAAUGACAAAUACAAAGUAUCCUAACUUGAGUAAAAAGAACACAAGCCGGCCACAAACACCCAAUGGAUUCAGAGUCUCCUUCCACAAUAUAUAUUUAGACGUGUUUAUGAUUAGAAGGCCUAGGCCCACGAAAAGCGAAGCGGGAGAGAGAAACCCUAAAGCCUCAUCAGUCGUCUGCUUUUAUAUAAAAGGAAAACCUCAAGAAUCUCUUGCAUACACCAAAAAAAGAAAACUAAAGAUGGCUUGAAUAAGCUAAUUUCAUUGCAGCAAUCUCUGUUUAUCCUGCUUGGAUUAUUAUUAUGUCUAGGAAUCUUAUUAGCUAAGUUAUGGUGUUGUAGAUGCCCUUUGUACGUGUAGGAGAAAGUGAUGAUAAGGAAUUGUCGCCCCAGUCUUAUUUGCAUCCAUUGCGAUGGUUGCAACAUGGUGAUUGACUAUUUUCGUCUGAUUUUCUAAUAUUUUCAAAGAUGUCUAAAUAGUGUCUUGUUUUAAUGAUUUAGUACUGUGGAUAUGAUGAAAAGGCAUAAUUGUUUUGUGACACCCAGUCUGAUCUGCUUCUGCAGUAUGAGUGAUUUGCCAUGUCUUCUGAUCCUUUUUUCAAUAAUACAAUUCGUGUUUUUAUCUUCUUUUUAUGUCUUUGUGUGGAAAGAGGACGAAUGAGGAUGAUUAUUAUAACCAUUACGUCUGCAAAUCUGAACUACAGUGUAGAUUCAUAGACAUGCACUACCAUCUGACCUCUUUUCUAACUUGUUUUUGUUUUUGAGUUUUCAAACCCUCUUUUUGUUGGUUUACUGCAACCAAUGAUGAAUAAAAUCGUCCAUAUUUAAUGAUAAUCCCAUGAUUAUUAAUCACUAGAUCACCAUCUUUCGGCUGAGGUUGCAGUCUACUCUUCAAAUGUUUUUCCUUAGAGAAAUUGCUAAUGAUAUCUGUUUAUAAAUACAGCGCCUGUUGUUUUUUCCCUUUUUUACUUCUUUCUUUUGUUAAGUUUUCUUUUGCAGGGUAAUUGGGUUCUUUAUUAA